UUUGGGAUUACAUUCUAAAAGACAACCUAAAAGAAAAUUCCAAAUGAUAUAGACAUGAGAGGAGGACAGUAAGCCAACCAUUCCUUUCCCUCCAUUAUCAAGAUUCCUUUCCUUUGAACUCUUGUAGCAGAGGCGUGUGCUUCUCUCAUGCCUGCUUGGGCCCCUACAGAUGCCUUCCCUUUGCACCAUUUCAAUGUACUUCCUCGUCUAUAAAUACAUCAAGUGCAUAGCUUUGGAUAUACAUCGCAACUUAGCUUAACUACUUUAGAAACUCAAACAAACCUUUCACUUCUCAACUCUCUCCAAUUCACCAUGUCUGACAAGUGCGGCAACUGCGACUGCUCUGACAAGAGCCAGUGCGUGAAGAAAGGAAACAGCAUGGUCAUUGAGACUGAAAAGAGGUA